AGAAUCAACGCUGGCGGCGUGCCUAACACAUGCAAGUCGAACGCGAAAGCCCCGCAAGGGGUCAGUAGAGUGGCAAACGGGGUGAGUAACACGUGGGUGAUCUGCCUCAGAGUGGGGGAUAACGACCCGAAAGGGUCGCUAAUACCGCAUAACAUCCUGCCUUUGGAUAGGUGGAGAUCAAAGUUGGGGAUCCGCAAGGACCUGACGCUUAGAGAGGAGCCCGCGGCCGAAUUAGCUAGGUUGGUGAGGUAACGGCUCACCAAGGCAACGAUC
rnacentral:rRNA from 1 species